rnacentral:lncRNA from 10 species
UGGCACAUUACCUAUCUGACAUGAAGAAAAAAUAAAAUAAACAAAAACAUUAAUAUCCACUACAAAGUCCCAUCUCAAAUAUCACUUCUGUGAAGGCAUACCUGACUCCUCUCACUUCCAAGAUUCUACAAGUUUGCCUCAUGGAAGGGAGCCAAUAUGAUCUGAGCACCUGCAGAUAAGAGAAAAGGCACUUGAGGAGGAGUGGUUGAGUUAGAUGAACCAGCUGCUUCUGAAGAAGGGGCAGACGUAUGUACGUUUUAAAGCUGAGAGCUGUGAAGGAAGAAAGAGCCCCUAAAAGACAGGAAUAAGAAGACAC